CCUACGGGUGGCUGCAGUGGGGAAUAUUGGACAAUGGGGGAAACCCUGAUCCAGCAAUGCCGCGUGUGUGAAGAAGGCCUGCGGGUUGUAAAGCACUUUCGGCGGGAAAGAAAAGUCGCGCGUUAAUACCGUGCGGCCUUGACGUUACCCGCAAAAGAAGCACCGGCUAACUCCGUGCCAGCAGCCGCGGUAAUACGGAUGGUGCAAGCGUUAACCGGAAUUACUGGGCGUAUAGCUCAGGUAGGCAGGCCCCGGGCUUAACCUGGGAACUGCAUCCGAUACUGGUUGCCUAGAGUAUGGAAGAGGGAAGCGGAAUUCCAGGUGUAGCGGUGAAAUGCGUAGAUAUCUGGAGGAACAUCAGUGGCGAAGGCGGCUUCCUGGUCCAAUACUGACGCUGAGGUGCGAAAGCGUGGGGAGCAAACAGGAUUAGAUACCCGAGUAGUC
rnacentral:rRNA from 1 species